CCAGUGUUUUUCACAAUGCUGAUGGUGCUGCUCCUGGAUGGUGGCUUCUGUCACAGUCAUCACUUAGACAACAUUACCAGGACAAAAAUGAAGAAACUCAGGCUGAAUAAACUCAGUGAAAUAUUUUGUUUCCUGUGACUUUCAGGAAGCAAAGACAACUGUCCCCACUGGUGCCAUGCAGCAGAAGACCAGAGCUGACCACUGCCUGUAUCUGCACAUUCCAACAGCAAAGUGCAGAGAACUGAGGGGAGAAAAAUAUCUAGACCUGAGAAUUCCAGAUUAUGGGAGUUGAGGAACACAGUCAAUGGCGUGGCUCUGCUGUCACUCACUUGGGACAUCCUCUCCAGAGAAACUGCUCCAAAGUCAUUCAAGACCUACACACAAACUCAAGCUCAGAGACUGGCUAUCUCCUGCCUUCAGAAUGAAUUUGUCUUUCCUUGGUAUCUUCUCCCAUCUGGCUCAUAAAGAAUUCCUGAGGAACUCCUGAGAACAGAAG
rnacentral:lncRNA from 1 species